UACGAAGGGGGCUAGCGUUGCUCGGAAUUACUGGGCGUAAAGGGCGCGUAGGCGGAUACUUAAGUCGGGGGUGAAAGCCCAGGGCUCAACCCUGGAACAGCCUUCGAUACUGCCAAGCUAGAGUCCUGGAGAGGAUGGUGGAACUCUCGGUGUAGAGGUGAAAUUCGUAGAUAUCGAGAAGAACACCGGUGGCGAAGGCGGCCAUCUGGACGGUGACUGACGCUGAGACGCGAAAGCGUGGGGAGCAAACAGG
rnacentral:rRNA from 1 species